rnacentral:rRNA from 1 species
UACGUAGGGGGCAAGCGUUGUCCGGAUUUAUUGGGCGUAAAGAGCGUGUAGGCGGUUAGGUAGGUCCGUUGUGAAAACUCGAGGCUCAACCUCGAGACGCCGAUGGAAACCAUCCGACUGGAGUCCGGAAGAGGAGAGUGGAAUUCCUGGUGUAGCGGUGAAAUGCGCAGAUAUCAGGAAGAACACCCGUGGCUAAGGCGGCUCUCUAGUACGUGACUGACGCUGAGACGCGAAAGCGUGGGGAGCGAACAGG